rnacentral:rRNA from 1 species
UUUAUGGAGAGUUUGAUCCUGGCUCAGGACGAACGCUGGCGGCGUGCCUAAUACAUGCAAGUCGAGCGAACAGAA